rnacentral:rRNA from 1 species
UUAAAUUGAAGAGUUUGAUCAUGGCUCAGAUUGAACGCUGGCGGCAGGCCUAACACAUGCAAGUCGAACGGUAACAGGAAGCAGCUUGCUGCUUUGCUGACGAGUGGCGGACGGGUGAGUAAUGUCUGGGAAACUGCCUGAUGGAGGGGGAUAACUACUGGAAACGGUGGCUAAUACCGCAUAACGUCGCAAGACCAAAGAGGGGGACCUUCGGGCCUCUUGCCAUCAGAUGUGCCCAGAUGGGAUUAGCUUGUUGGUGAGGUAACGGCUCACCAAGGCGACGAUCCCUAGCUGGUCUGAGAGGAUGACCAGCCACACUGGAACUGAGACACGGUCCAGACUCCUACGGGAGGCAGCAGUGGGGAAUAUUGCACAAUGGGCGCAAGCCUGAUGCAGCCAUGCCGCGUGUAUGAAGAAGGCCUUCGGGUUGUAAAGUACUUUCAGCGGGGAGGAAGGUGUUGUGGUUAAUAACCACAGCAAUUGACGUUACCCGCAGAAGAAGCACCGGCUAACUCCGUGCCAGCAGCCGCGGUAAUACGGAGGGUGCAAGCGUUAAUCGGAAUUACUGGGCGUAAAGCGCACGCAGGCGGUCUGUCAAGUCGGAUGUGAAAUCCCCGGGCUCAACCUGGGAACUGCAUUCGAAACUGGCAGGCUUGAGUCUUGUAGAGGGGGGUAGAAUUCCAGGUGUAGCGGUGAAAUGCGUAGAGAUCUGGAGGAAUACCGGUGGCGAAGGCGGCCCCCUGGACAAAGACUGACGCUCAGGUGCGAAAGCGUGGGGAGCAAACAGGAUUAGAUACCCUGGUAGUCCACGCCGUAAACGAUGUCUACUUGGAGGUUGUGCCCUUGAGGCGUGGCUUCCGGAGCUAACGCGUUAAGUAGACCGCCUGGGGAGUACGGCCGCAAGGUUAAAACUCAAAUGAAUUGACGGGGGCCCGCACAAGCGGUGGAGCAUGUGGUUUAAUUCGAUGCAACGCGAAGAACCUUACCUGGUCUUGACAUCCACGGAAGUUUUCAGAGAUGAGAAUGUGCCUUCGGGAACCGUGAGACAGGUGCUGCAUGGCUGUCGUCAGCUCGUGUUGUGAAAUGUUGGGUUAAGUCCCGCAACGAGCGCAACCCUUAUCCUUUGUUGCCAGCGAUUAGGUCGGGAACUCAAAGGAGACUGCCAGUGAUAAACUGGAGGAAGGUGGGGAUGACGUCAAGUCAUCAUGGCCCUUACGACCAGGGCUACACACGUGCUACAAUGGCGCAUACAAAGAGAAGCAACCUCGCGAGAGCAAGCGGACCUCAUAAAGUGCGUCGUAGUCCGGAUUGGAGUCUGCAACUCGACUCCAUGAAGUCGGAAUCGCUAGUAAUCGUGGAUCAGAAUGCCACGGUGAAUACGUUCCCGGGCCUUGUACACACCGCCCGUCACACCAUGGGAGUGGGUUGCAAAAGAAGUAGGUAGCUUAACCUUCGGGAGGGCGCUUACCACUUUGUGAUUCAUGACUGGGGUGAAGUCGUAACAAGGUAACCGUAGGGGAACCUGCGGUUGGAUCACCUCCUUACCUUAAAGAAGC